GCAGUGGGCAGAGACCACCUCCCUCAUUGCCGCUUUGGGUUUGGACCGCUUUAAACAGUAAAGUGACUGUCGACGGCUCAGUCUACAGGGAGGAGAACAAAAGACAGGGUCAGGGCUGGGCAGACUGGACAGGGUAAGAUUCUGGCUCCCCUCACUUGCUAGUUGGAGGAGUGGGGAGGCGAGUUAUUAGUGCCUUUGGGCCCUGACCUUAUAGCCCUUCGUAGGGUGGUGUGCGAAUGUCCAGUGUCCAGUGCUGAAUGCUGAGGGACCCAGUAAGAGGAGGUGGCUAGAACUGGAGGGACAGUUUCCCAGAAGCCUGGGCUUUGGGAUAGCAGCUGGGGAGAGCAGAGUCACGCUAGGCUCUUGUCUAGUGACUGGAGCUAGCAGCAUAAGCCAGGCUCUAUGGAAUGUUGGGUGAGCUGCUUGAGGAACUCCAAGGCCUGUCCCACAGUCUUCCAGCCUCCGACUCUCCGGCCCUCAGCGAGGUCAGCAGUGAGCUACUUUUGGAUCUGUUGAAGUCCCACUGGUUUUUUUGGUUGGUUUUUUUUUUUUUUUUUAAGGUUUUUUGGUUUUUUUUUUUUUUUCUCAUUCCUGUCUUGGGAGCUUUCCCCAACCAGAGAGAGUGAUCUUUCAGCAGACUGAUCGAACACACAGGCUUCUCAGCCCACUCCCUCCAGUCAAGGUUAAGGCCUGGCAAAGGUGGAGGAAGAGAAGCUGAGGAGAAAAAGGCGAGGAGAGCCUAGGCACAGGAAGGUGACCGUGAGUAGAGUUGGGUGGUCCAGGGAUGUGGCUGGGAUCCCCUCUUCCUUCUGGAGUUCUCUUAGACAGUAAGGCUGAAGAGAAGCUUGGUACAGGAACUUCGAAGGUUUCUCAAGCGCUUCCCUCCCUCCCAGUGCUGAUUUCCUGUGGACCAGAUUCCAGCACAGUGGAGGGCCAGAGCUCAGGGAACAGACCCAGCAGCACAGCAAGUCUCCAAGGAAAGCUCUAGCAGUCUCCAGGGGCUGAAGGCAGGACUGGAAC
rnacentral:lncRNA from 1 species